rnacentral:sRNA from 1 species
CUUGGUCAUUUAGAGGAAGUAAAAGUCGUAACAAGGUUUCCGUAGGUGAACCUGCGGAAGGAUCAUUAGUGAAUUGAAUAUGUUAGCGGACCUCUUCGGAGUCCCUAGCAUCAAAUCAUAUCCAUAACACCUGUGAACUGUAAGGCUGUCUUGAAAACGAAAGUGAUUAGAGCGCCUGCCCAUUUUAUACAAACAUUAAAGUAACAAACGUAGUCUUAUUAUAAUCUAAUAAAACUUUCAACAACGGAUCUCUUGGCUCUCGCAUCGAUGAAGAACGCAGCGAAAUGCGAUAAGUAAUGUGAAUUGCAGAAUUCAGUGAAUCAUCGAAUCUUUGAACGCACCUUGCGCUCUUUGGUAUUCCGAAGAGCAUGCCUGUUUGAGUGUCAUGAAAAUAUCAACCUUGACUUGGGUUUAGUGCUCUUGUCUUGGCUUGGAUUUGGCUGUUUGCCGCUCGAAAGAGUCGGCUCAGCUUAAAAGUAUUAGCUGGAUCUGUCUUUGAGACUUGGUUUGACUUGGCGUAAUAAGUUAUUUCGCUGAGGACAAUCUUCGGAUUGGCCGAGUUUCUGGGACGUUUGUCCGCUUUCUAAUACAAGUUCUAGCUUGCUAGACAUGACUUUUUUAUUAUCUGGCCUCAAAUCAGGUAGGACUACCCGCUGAACUUAAGCAUAUCAAUAAGCGGAGGAAAAGAAACUAACAAGGAUUCCCCUAGUAACGGCGAGUGAAGCGGGAAGAGCUCAAAUUUGAAAUCUGGUGGCCUCAGGCUAUCCGAGUUGUAAUCUAUAGAAACAUUUUCCGCGUUGGCCCAUGUACAGGUCUCUUGGAAUAGAGCGUCAUAGAGGGUGAGAAUCCCGUCCUUGACAUGGACUACCAGUGCUUUGUGAUAUGUUUUCAACGAGUCGAGUUGUUUGGGAAU